rnacentral:lncRNA from 1 species
AUCACAUCAAAUAAGUAAAUAUUGAUUCUGCCUUCAUACAUAUCGGUCAAAUUAAGACUUCGUUUGGGAUUGCGGGAAAAUUACGUUUCAUGCAGUGAAAAGCGAUGAUAGAAAAAUAUCUUGUUUCCGUACGUAAUAUUGCGUUCCGUAUAUUACGGUUAGUCGGUUACGAUAUAUUUUUUACGGUCCCAUCGGAGAACGCAGAAGCACAUAGGAAUAUAUUUUUUCUCAACUCCAUUCUAUCUAAUAGCGUUAGAUCAACCUCAAUACCAAACUAAGCCUAAGUUUGGAUCUAAGAAGCGGAUUGAGUUUCUAUAUCUUUAUGAGUUCGAGUUUUG